GAGAUUCGAACAUUAUAUAACACGUAGUAUCAUACGAAGAGAUCAACACAACAAACACACUGUGAUGGCAAAGUUACAUUGCCUCUGCUUCUGUCUCCUAGCCCUUUUCCUCUCAGAGACCUUGACGACGAACAAAGUGGGUGCUGCAGUUUGUCCUGAUUUCAUAACCAUUGUUAAGUGCAAAUACUCCGACUGCAACAAGAUUUGCUUUGACAGACACAAGCAAGGCAGUACUGGAUUCUGUGUUGGCCGAAGUGCAUGCAGCUGUUUUUAUAGAUGUGAUCGUUAGUUUUAAGUUUAAUCAACAUCUUCCCUUUUAGUAAUGAAAUAAAACAUGGAGAAAUGCUAUUGAUCUCAAAAUGAUUUCCGAUUAA